UGCGGCAGCUAUACAUGCAGUCGUACGCUUCUUUUUCCACCGGAGCUUGCUCCACCGGAAAAAGAAGAGUGGCGAACGGGUGAGUAACACGUGGGUAACCUGCCCAUCAGAAGGGGAUAACACUUGGAAACAGGUGCUAAUACCGUAUAACAAUCGAAACCGCAUGGUUUUGAUUUGAAAGGCGCUUUCGGGUGUCGCUGAUGGAUGGACCCGCGGUGCAUUAGCUAGUUGGUGAGGUAACGGCUCACCAAGGCCACGAUGCAUAGCCGACCUGAGAGGGUGAUCGGCCACAUUGGGACUGAGACACGGCCCAAACUCCUACGGGAGGCAGCAGUAGGGAAUCUUCGGCAAUGGACGAAAGUCUGACCGAGCAACGCCGCGUGAGUGAAGAAGGUUUUCGGAUCGUAAAACUCUGUUGUUAGAGAAGAACAAGGAUGAGAGUAACUGUUCAUCCCUUGACGGUAUCUAACCAGAAAGCCACGGCUAACUACGUGCCAGCAGCCGCGGUAAUACGUAGGUGGCAAGCGUUGUCCGGAUUUAUUGGGCGUAAAGCGAGCGCAGGCGGUUUCUUAAGUCUGAUGUGAAAGCCCCCGGCUCAACCGGGGAGGGUCAUUGGAAACUGGGAGACUUGAGUGCAGAAGAGGAGAGUGGAAUUCCAUGUGUAGCGGUGAAAUGCGUAGAUAUAUGGAGGAACACCAGUGGCGAAGGCGGCUCUCUGGUCUGUAACUGACGCUGAGGCUCGAAAGCGUGGGGAGCAAACAGGAUUAGAUACCCUGGUAGUCCACGCCGUAAACGAUGAGUGCUAAGUGUUGGAGGGUUUCCGCCCUUCAGUGCUGCAGCUAACGCAUUAAGCACUCCGCCUGGGGAGUACGACCGCAAGGUUGAAACUCAAAGGAAUUGACGGGGGCCCGCACAAGCGGUGGAGCAUGUGGUUUAAUUCGAAGCAACGCGAAGAACCUUACCAGGUCUUGACAUCCUUUGACCACUCUAGAGAUAGAGCUUCCCCUUCGGGGGCAAAGUGACAGGUGGUGCAUGGUUGUCGUCAGCUCGUGUC
rnacentral:rRNA from 1 species